GUGAGGAAUAUUGGUCAAUGGGCGAGAGCCUGAACCAGCCAAGUCGCGUGAAGGAAGAAGGAUCUAUGGUUCGUAAACUUCUUUUGUAGGGGAAUAAAGUGCGGGACGUGUCCUGUUUUGUAUGUACCCUGAGAAUAAGGAUCGGCUAACUCCGUGCCAGCAGCCGCGGUAAUACGGAGGAUCCGAGCGUUAUCCGGAUUUAUUGGGUUUAAAGGGUGCGUAGGUGGUUUGAUAAGUCAGCGGUGAAAGUUUGCAGCUUAACUGUAAAAAUGCCGUUGAAACUGUAGGACUUGAGUGUAAAUGAGGUAGGCGGAAUGCGUGGUGUAGCGGUGAAAUGCAUAGAUAUCACGCAGAACUCCGAUUGCGAAGGCAGCUUACUAAGCUACAACUGACACUGAAGCACGAAAGCGUGGGGAUCAAACAGGAUUAGAUACCCUUGUAGUCC
rnacentral:rRNA from 1 species